rnacentral:rRNA from 1 species
AACUCGACUGCAUGAAGUCGGAAUCGCUAGUAAUCGCAGAUCAGCAAAGCUGCGGUGAAUACGUUCCCGGGCCUUGUACACACCGCCCGUCACACCACGGGAGUCGGUCGCGCCUGAAGCCGGUGGCCUAUCAGUAAUGGGGGAGCCGUCUAUGGCGAGAUUGGUAACUGGGGUGAAGUCGUAACAAGGUAGC